rnacentral:lncRNA from 1 species
GGAUUACGAAAUAGUUUAUUUAGUUAUUCCUAAUGAGUUUAGGACAAUUAAUGUGUUAUAUAAGGAUAUGCAAGAGUGUUGCAUAAUGUGUGAGUUGUGAGAGUUGAGAGCUUAGUUUUGAGAAAGUUUCUAAGCAAUAAAGAGCAUGAGUUUGAGUUAUAUUACUUUGAGUUCUUGAGACCGUGAAUUUAUAUUUAUUGUUAACAGAUUCUUUUAAAAUAGUGACUCAACUUUUGGUUUUACUAGGGGCAUUGCAUCCGCGCAAACGCGGAGUUGUGGACAGAGUUCUUGUUUCAUCUCAAUAUUUGUUAGGGUUAUUGUAGUUGUGAAUUUUACGUUUUGAGUUGUUUUUCAAGUUUUUUUAUUGUUAUAGGGUUAGAGUUGUGAUGAUGAACUGUGUAUGCAUUGUUCUCCACUUAUGAAGGACUAAAUUGUGUGUCAGUAAGACUUAUUAUUUGUUUGUCUUUUUAAUUUGUUUCUUAUACUGUUGAGAGUACAUAAAUUAUAUUAAAAUUGUUGAGAGUAUCUUUUGUUUCUGGAUAUUUUUUAUCCGGUUUAGUUGUGUAAGUUGUGUGUAUUAAGUAAUACUUUUUAUUAUCCUUAUUAUGUUUGUUAUAUGUUUUUAUUUUAUUUUUAAAUUUGUUGCUCGUACCAGACCUUUAAAACAAAUACAUGAAGACUUGUAGAAAUAACUAUAAAAUGAGUGACAGUUCUGAGUAUUUGGGCUUUAAUGAGUUUUAAACGAAUUUAAGUAUUUCUCAUAAGAAGACAAUAGCAUUGGGCUAUUGACAUUGGACAUGUAAGCUAUUUUUAUAAAACAAGAGGAGUGAGCAGGUGGAGAUGUUGUUGCCGCAUUUGUGUCUGUCGGGAUUUUCUCUUGUAUCUCUUGUUGUGGUUGUGUUUGUUUAUCUUUUAUUUGAUGGGUAAUAUGUAAACAAAAAUCAUUGUCAGUUGUAUUUAUCAGAGUUCAUAACUUACUCUGCUUUUUUUGUUUAGGUAAUUUCACUGAUUUUGGUUGUCAUCUUCGUCUUCUUCGUUGCGAAAGUAAGUUUGUAAAUUUUUAAAUUGCUGGCCGUUUAGUUUGUAUUUGUUUAGCUGACUCGAUGUAUGUGUCGUUGCGAAAGUAAGUUUGCAAAUUGUUAAAUAGCUGACCGUGUAGUUUGUAUUUGUUUAGCUGACUUGAUGUAUGUGUCGUUGAGUUUUAGUUGAGGUGAUUGGUUUGGUAUAUUUGUUUUGAAGUUUAUUUCUAAGAUUAGAUAAAAAAGAGAGGUGAUCAUUAAUGAUUCGUCUUUUUUGAAAUUCUAGUUUUUGGUGUUUUGAUUGUUUGGGUUGUUGUGGUUUCUUUUAAGCUGUAAAAUAAAGGUUUUUGUAAAAUUAGUUUGAUAAGUAAGAGAGAUAAAUAGACAACCACAAAAUUUGGGUAGGAAAUAUUUUUGAUUAUUGAUGUCAGUACAAUAUAGGUAAUAAUAUAAAGGAAAUUGUGUGUUGAUUGUUUCUUACGGAUCAAUGAGGAGACGGAUAACGACUCGAGUUGUUUCUUUGCUAAGGUAAGAGCCUUGGACAGAACGGAUUUGCCCAACUACAUCUGCGAGUUUAAAUAUCAGUUAUGAUAACAAAACAUAUUAUAAACCCAGAUGCAAUAUGAUAAUAUACUUGGGAGUUCUAGGUUUGUGU